rnacentral:tRNA from 1 species
GCAGCCUUUGGCGCGCGGGAAGCGCGCGGUGAUGGUGGCGCCGGCGGCCAGAGGCGCGGCGCCCAGCAGAUCCUCGCCGUCAUGGCCGUU